UUUUUUCCUUCAAAACACUACUAAACUUCAACUAUAAACUUCAAAUUCACUAUAACUCAAAUUUCAAUGCUCAAUAUACAUCCAACAAGUCCCAAUCUACCUCUUGACAUUACCUAAACAAUGGCUCACUCUCAAAAGCCUCUAUUUCUCAAACUCACUCAUGCAAACCUUUCCUUUUUAGACUUAAAACUAAACAUGUAACCAUUUCUCAUCACACCCACUUUUAAUUUAGUUUCUAAUAACAAAAAAACUUCUUCAAACACCUUAAUAACAGUAUAAAACAUCAAGAUCACGCAAUUUUAGUUCCACUCAACAUCAUACCGUC
rnacentral:lncRNA from 1 species